rnacentral:rRNA from 1 species
CGGACGGGUGAGUAACGCGUGAGAAUCUGCCUUUUGGAUCGGGAUAACUACUGGAAACGGUAGCUAAGACCGGAUGUGCCCUUGGGUGAAAUAUUAAUAGCCAAAAGAGGAGCUCGCGACCGAUUAGCUAGUUGGUGGGGUAAGAGCCUACCAAGGCUGCGAUCGGUAGCCGGUUUGAGAGGACGACCGGCCACACUGGGACUGAGACACGGCCCAGACUCCUACGGGAGGCAGCAGUGGGGAAUUUUCCGCAAUGGGCGAAAGCCUGACGGAGCAAUACCGCGUGAGGGAGGAAGGCUCUUGGGUCGUAAACCUCUUUUCUCAAGGAAGAAACAAAUGACGGUACUUGAGGAAUCAGCAUCGGCUAACUCCGUGCCAGCAGCCGCGGUAAUACGGAGGAUGCAAGCGUUAUCCGGAAUGAUUGGGCGUAAAGCGUCCGCAGGUGGCAUUUCAAGUCUGCUGUCAAAUCUCCCAGCUUAACUGGGGCAAGGCAGUGGAAACUGAGAAGCUAGAGAGCAAUAGGGGUAGAGGGAAUUCCCGGUGUAGCGGUGAAAUGCGUAGAGAUCGGGAAGAACACCAGUGGCGAAAGCGCUCUACUAGGUUGCAUCUGACACUGAGGGACGAAAGCUAGGGGAGCGAAUGGGAUUAGAUACCCCAGUAGUC